rnacentral:sRNA from 1 species
CAAAAAAAACCAAAAAUAUAACAACUCAAAAUUACGAUAUAACACUUUUUUCAUUUUUUU